rnacentral:rRNA from 1 species
AACGAGCGAUAGGAAGGAAGUUUUCGGAUGGAAUUCAUAUUGACUGAGUGGCGGACGGGUGAGUAACGCGUGGGUAACCUGCCUCAUACAGGGGGAUAACAGUUAGAAAUGACUGCUAAUACCGCAUAAGCGCACAGAAUCGCAUGAUUCGGUGUGAAAAACUCCGGUGGUAUGAGAUGGACCCGCGUCUGAUUAGCUAGUUGGUGGGGUAAAGGCCUACCAAGGCGACGAUCAGUAGCCGACCUGAGAGGGUGAUCGGCCACAUUGGGACUGAGACACGGCCCAAACUCCUACGGGAGGCAGCAGUGGGGAAUAUUGCACAAUGGGGGAAACCCUGAUGCAGCAACGCCGCGUGAGUGAAGAAGUAUUUCGGUAUGUAAAGCUCUAUCAGCAGGGAAGAAGAUGACGGUACCUGAUUAAGAAGCCCCGGCUAACUACGUGCCAGCAGCCGCGGUAAUACGUAGGGGGCAAGCGUUAUCCGGAUUUACUGGGUGUAAAGGGAGCGUAGACGGCAUAGCAAGUCUGAAGUGAAAGCCCAAGGCUCAACCAUGGGACUGCUUUGGAAACUGUUAAGCUAGAGUGCUGGAGAGGUAAGCAGAAUUCCUAGUGUAGCGGUGAAAUGCGUAGAUAUUAGGAAGAACACCAGUGGCGAAGGCGGCUUACUGGACAGUAACUGACGUUGAGGCUCGAAAGCGUGGGGAGCAAACAGGAUUAGGUACCCUGGUAGUCCACGCCGUAAACGAUGAAUGCUAGGUGUUGGGGAGCAAAGCUUCUCGGUGCCGCCGC